UCGAGAAUAUUCGACAAUGGGCGAAAGCCUGAUCGAGCGACGCCGCGUGCAGGAUGAAGGCCCUCGGGUUGUAAACUGCGGUAGUAGGGGAGGAACGCAAGUGACUGUACCCUACGGAAAGUGGUUGGUAACUACGUGCCAGCACCAGCGGUAAUACGUAGACCACAAGCGUUAUCCGGAUUUAUUGGGCGUAAAGAGCAUGUAGGAGGUCCGGUGCGUCUCUGGUUAAAGCCCACCGCCUAACGGUGGAAGUGCCAGAGAUACGAUCGGACUGGAGGAUGUGAGAGGUGCAUGGAACUCACGGUGUAGGGGUGAAAUCCGUUGAUAUCGUGGGGAACACCAAAGGCGAAGGCAGUGCACUGGUACAUUCCUGACUCUGAGAUGCGAAAGCGUGGGGAGCAAAAAGGAUUAGAUACCCGGGUAGUCCCUGAGCGGGCUGGCAAGGCGCAU
rnacentral:rRNA from 1 species